rnacentral:rRNA from 1 species
UACGUAGGUGGCGAGCGUUGUCCGGAAUCAUUGGGCGUAAAGGGAGCGCAGGCGGGCAUGUAAGUCUUUCUUAAAAGUUCGGGGCUCAACCCCGUGAUGGGAAAGAAACUACAUGUCUUGAGUACAGGAGAGGAAAGCGGAAUUCCUAGUGUAGCGGUGAAAUGCGUAGAUAUUAGGAGGAACACCAGUGGCGAAGGCGGCUUUCUGGACUACAACUGACGCUGAGGCGCGAAAGCCAGGGGAGCGAACGGG